rnacentral:tRNA from 1 species
GGGGGCGUGGCGCAGCCGGGAGCGCGUCUGCAUGGCAUGCAGAAGGUCACGGGUUCGAGUCCCGUCGCCUCCA